rnacentral:sRNA from 1 species
UGUGAACCAGAGGUGCUUUCUCCAUCUCUCUGGGGCUAUCUUGUUCCUCAUCCUGUCCUGUCUCUAUGCAUUGGCCUCAGGCUCUGGCUCCCCAUCCAUGGCCUCUCAGUGCAACAGACACUGACCAGAGACUUUUAGUCCCCAGGUUUCACAUUCUUGGGACAGCAAAUCUGAUUGGCUAUCCCAGUUCACUGUCUGGCCAGGUGGGCAGGGUCAUGUGGCUCUCUGCCCAUUUGGCUGAGGCUAAGGGAGCAGGCUCUGAACAGAGACACAGGCUGGGCAAAUUUCCUGCAAGGGAGGGCCUAGUAUAAGUAACUCCCCCUGGGAGCUAUGAGGGAUGAGCCUCUGGAGGGAAAGUGGCCGGUAUGCAGGAGGUGAUCAAUUGGUAGGUGUUUCCUUCCCCCACCACGUCCUAUCACAAGAAGGUGGUUAAGAGGUGGGGUACCCUAGAGGAGGAGGGGGUGCUGGUGGGGCUGCAGCAGAUCCAGGGCAGGCAAGCUGUGUCCCCCGCACACCUGGACCUCCCAGUCAAGGGAAGAAUGGCAACAAUGCACAGCAGGUAGGGACAGGGGCUGCGCCUCAAGGACAAAGUCAGAGGAGGUGCUCUAAGCCAAGGGGACAAAGCUGGUCAUUGUCUGUGCAUGAAGAGCUGAAGUGCCCGAGUACAGGCUUCUGAGGGCUCCAGGAGCCACCAGUGAUGGUCAAGAAAGGGUGUGGGACACAAACCAGACUGUUCCCUUCUUUUCUAAAGUGCCUUGAACCCACUGCUUUACUGCAUCCUAAAGUUGGGAAUCUAAGGCUUACUGCCUUGAUUUUAUAAAACUCAGUUUUAUAGUCACAGAAAGUCCCUUGGAUUAGCCCAAGGUCAUUCAGCAAGCUGUGACUCAGAAGUAGGGCUGUGACAGGAACUGGGGUACCCAGACCCAACUCCUGGGCCUGGCCUCCACGGAGUCUGUUGCAGGGGGUGUGCUUACUGCCUGCUCUGCACCCACAGAUGAUGCCAGCUGGCUGCACGCAGGGCCACCCCACAACGAGUACAUGGAGCAGAGUUUCCAGGGCCUGAGUAGCAUCCUGAACCUGCCUCAGCCGGAGCUCGCGGAGGAGGCUGCCCAGCGGCACACACAGCUCACAGGCCCUGCGCUCGAGGCCUGGACAGACAGGGAACUGAGCAGCUUCUGGUCCGUGGCUGGACUGUGUGCCAUAGGCCCCUCUCCCUGCCCCUCCCUGGAGCCCUGCAGACUGACCAGCUGGAGCUCUCUGUCCCCCGACCCCAAAUCAGAGCUGGGGCCUGUCAAAGCAGACGGGCGACUCAGGUAGCAGGGCCCCAGCCAGUACCCGUGGAGGACCCAGGAAAUUGCACCUUACAGACAGUGGAGGGGUGUCCCCUCCCACAGGCAAGAACCAGAGGCCCAGGCUGCACACCCAUUUCAGCCAUCAAGAACCCACACAGACGGCAGGGAAGGUGGACACAGUAUGAACUACUGCUGAUGUCUCUGUUGGGGAUCAGAGGGCUGGCGGGAACGUGAGAAGGGCGCCAGCAGCAUUCCACACCCAGCUCUUCCUCACCUUCCUGUCUAGUUUGAAUUUCUUUUUUUUCUUUUUUUUUAAUUUAAAAAGGAAAAUGGGUGGUUGGGAGAGAAACUAGAACAGAAGAUGUGCAAUAGGGCUCAGAGCAGCCCCAGGAAGUGGGCCAUGUCUGUGGGGAGCAGGGGCUUGCUGAGCCCACCUGCUAUUGUUCUGCACAAGGCUGGGCCUGCCUCACUCUCCAGGGCCUCAUGCCCCAUUCUGGGCCUGUGGUGCUCGUGGCUGAGGCUCCACAGGGCUGCAAGUGCUCUGCUAGGCUCUAAGGCCCAAAGAACAGAUGAUACCGGGGGCACUGCAGAGCUGGGCUCUAGCAGGACAGUUCUUUUGUAGCCAGGGGACCCUAGAAGUGGGGUGGGGUGGCUCCAGGGCUUUCCAGCAUACCCUGCCCCUGGAUGGGAAAGGCAGGGUCAGGGCCCACUGAGACCCAUGCAGAGUUUCCAGGUGUGCACUGGAAGUGAGGUCACAUGAGCAGCGUGGGAAGAAGACUCUGUCAAGACUCUCAGAAGAACCUGGAGUAAUUGUGCCUGAAGCUCAGCGUGAAGUCUGAAAUAUGCAACAGAAGAAAUAUAUCUCUAUCUCUCUA